UUUAUUUUCGUCUCCGAAGUCUUCUCUUUCUUUUUCUGCGUCUCUUUACUCUACCAUCCCUCCUACGCACCUCCAUCUCUCCCUAGCUCCGUACCCUAGUAGAGAUUGGAAAUGUCGGAGAAGGCUAAAGCCAGAAAGGAGGAGGUGGUUACCAGGGAGUACACCAUCAACCUCCACAAGCGCCUCCACGGAUGCACAUUCAAGAAGAAGGCACCUAACGCCAUCAAGGAGAUCAGGAAAUUUGCACAGAAAGCCAUGGGUACAACUGAUGUGAGAGUGGAUGUGAAGCUGAACAAGCAUAUCUGGAGCAGAGGAAUCCGUAGUGUCCCAAGGCGUGUAAGAGUUCGCAUUGCUCGUAAGAGGAAUGACGAUGAGGAUGCAAAGGAGGAGCUCUAUUCUCUUGUUACAGUUGCUGAGAUCCCACCCGAAGGAUUGAAGGGCCUUGGUACAGCGAUCAUCGAUGAUGAUGAUGAGUAGGUUGUUAUUAAUUGAGAGGAAUGGAAAUGAUACAGAACUUUUUUGUUGUUCUACAGUCUAAAUAUCUUUUUGCAUUGUUUUCAGACACUAGACUCCAGCAUCCUUUUUCGGUGUUUUUGUUAAAGCUUUUGCCAGAGUUUGUGCUCAAUCGUUCUUGUAGUUUAGUAUUCUCUCUUGGGAAAAGGGUAACAAGUCAAUUAGUUCU